rnacentral:lncRNA from 1 species
GGAAUGAGCUAUACCUUGCUGCGUGCCACCAGAAUGUGCUAUGAUGAAUUCUCUCCAAGAUCAGGGACCACCUUCAAGCAGUCCUGAAAAAUGACACCCAAAACCAGGUGAACUAACUUGGCAAGAACAAAUUCUCUUCAAGUUCUCACCUUUCUACCCCAAUUUUAAGAUACACAUCUCCCUCUUCCCCAAAUACCACUUGAAAAAAUUUCUAAUACCUGGAUUUAUCAUACAAUCAAGAGAGGCACAGCAAGAGAGGGAACACAAGCAAUGGGAGUGAGAGAGGGAAAAGCAGGCUUCCCACUGAGCAGGGAGCCUGAUGUGGGACUUGAUCCCAGGACCCUGGAACCUGAGCUGAAGUCACGCUGAGAAAAUGAAACUUUCUACUUCUACCAACUGUAUCCCAUAGAAAACAGUAAGAUGAAGAAAUAAAGUUUGCUAGAUUUAUCACCAGA